rnacentral:rRNA from 1 species
AUUGAACGCUGGCGGCAUGCUUUACACAUGCAAGUCGAACGGUAACAGGCCGCGAGGUGCCGCUGAGUGGCGGACGGGUGCGUAAUGCAUCGGAACGCGCCCAGUCGUGGUUGUUAAUUACUCGAAAGAGUAGCUAAUAUCCCAUACGACCUCAUGAGGACAACGGGGGACCGCAAGGCCUCGUGGGAUUUGACCGGCCGAUGUGAGAUUAGGUAGUUGGUGGGGUAAAGGCUCACCAAGGCAACGAUCCGUAGCUGGUCUGAGAGGACGACCAGCCACACUGGAACUGAGACACGGUCCAGACUCCUACGGGAGGCAGCAGUGGGGAAUUUUGGACAAUGGGCGCAAGCCUGAUCCAGCAAUGCCGCGUGCAGGAAGAAGGCCUUCGGGUUGUAAACUGCUUUUGUACGGAACGAAGCGGAUCUGGUUAAUACCCGGGGCUAAUGACGGUACCGAAAGAAUAAGCACCGGCUAACUACGUG